CACGCUUUUAAGGUGACCGGUGCUACCCAAAGCCGGCAACUUCUGACUCUGUGGGCACGAAAACCAAGGUGGCAGAAGUUCUAAAAACGGCUGGAGGUGCUGGGAAGGUAGAAGUACAAUAGCUGGACUUGCUGAUAUAACAAGUGCCAACUGAUAUAAUGUAUCACGUUACUACAAAGAAACAAGUUGGAGACCACUGGGAGGAAAGUUUAUUUUUCCAUGGCUGAAGCUGGAUGUUUACAAAAGUACAAGUAUAAAGGAACCUCACGCAGCGCUU